AAACAUCUAUCCAUUUCUCUUAUUUACUUUGCAUAUUCAUUACUAUUUUGUGAUUUGGUUGUGAUAACCAAUGGGAGGAAGGAGAAGAUCGCCUCCAGCAUGCCGAGACCUCAAGGCAACUCAAGAGCAGAUCGCCAAUGGAAGCUACACCAUCCUGCUCCAGCCGGAUCUGGAGGCCGGCGCACCAUGAUUCACCAAGGGCACCGUCGUGAGGUUCGUGCAGCACACUGGAGGUUUGGGAGCGCGUGAUGACCAUCAUGUCCAGGAUACUGCAGCUCGAGGACACCAUAGCCGUCCAGAGCAAUGAUAUCUUGGAUUGAAAUCUGCAGAAGGCCACGAUAGGAAACCGGUUAACUCCGUGGAAGUACAUCCUCUCCUCCUCUGAUGUUGAUGUGAAAUCUCCUUCUACAAGGUAACUAGACAACAUUCCUACAAAUUUGCAAGCUUUGUUUCUCUUAAGUCUUCCACUCAACCCCAGACAAUAUUUCAUUGAAUCUGUGAAUUUUCUCCUGAACUGAUAGAUGCAGUUGCAGGUGAAAACAUUGUGAUAUAUGAGGUAAUGAAAAUAUUUAUGGAGGAAAUUUACUUUUACACAUCGUAUAGGUUAUCUUUAUCUAAAUCAUGUGGUCCUUUUUGAGUUAUGAGUUGCAGUAGUACUACAUGAAGAUUAUAAAUUAGGUACGAUUGUUUUUGCUCUCUAAUUCAUGAGUACCUGCGUACAAACUCAGUAUCUAUUUUCACCAUGUCAUGGCACGGCAACCGUGGAGCGGAUAUGAUUGAACCUUAUAAGCUGGCCUCAAGAACAUAAACACCGGUUCCAUUUUAUUUCCCUGGACCUCAUAAAUACUCAUUUUGCUUAUAACAGUUCCGAGGUAUGACAAAAAGAUUAAGCAAAA